AAAAAAAAAGUAAAAAAA
rnacentral:sRNA from 1 species